UACAGAGGGUGCAAGCGUUAAUCGGAAUUACUGGGCGUAAAGCGUGCGUAGACGGUCAUGUAAGUCGGGUGUGAAAGCCCCGGGCUCAACCUGGGAAUUGCAUUCGAGACUGCAUGGCUAGGAUGCGGAAGAGGGAAGCGGAAUUUCCGGUGUAGCGGUGAAAUGCGUAGAUAUCGGAAGGAACAUCAGUUGCGAAGGCGGCUCUCUGGACCAGCACUGACACUGAGGCACGAAAGCGUGGGGAGCAAACAGG
rnacentral:rRNA from 1 species